GCUGGUAGCAGUGGAUACGGUAAGUACUCCUCAGGUAACUAGUUCGUAGUCUUCCUCCUUUAGAGGGCUCAGAGCUGCAACACAAGAUCACAGUUCACCUUUAACUGUGACUUCCUUGCUUGCGGUCAGCUGGUAGCAGUGGAUACGGUAAGUACUUUUCGGUAACUGGUUCAUAGUUUUCCUCCUUAAGAGGGCUCGAGUCUGUAACACAAGAUUACACUUCACCUUUAACUGUGACUUUCUCUUACUUGCAGGUGGCUGGUAGCAGUGGAUACGGUGGCUGGUAACAGUGGAUACGGUGGCUGGUAACAGUGGAUACGGUGAGUACUUUUACAGGUAACUGGUUCGUAGUCCUCCUCCUUCAGAGGGUACGAGGCUGUCACUAUGAGCCGAACGCUGCCCUCUCCUUCCCACACGUAGGAUGUCGGGACUCUGGACAGGAGCGUACCUUUGAAGAGGCUCAGU